UUUAAAAUCCAGACCAUAACAAUCAUCAUUUCUAAGAAGAAUUUUUUAGCCAAGUUAAAUGAUCUCUGGACUACCAUUGUAUAUUCUUGUUUCAUUGAUUUUCAUGUUAGUUAUGUUAGGUAUACAAGGUCCUCUGAGCCCCUGUAUGAUCCUUAGGGCAAGAAAUUCAUAGUGGAUUCGUGUGUUAUUUAGAUCUCCUCUCAAACACUCCACCCCCAAAAGUGAAACUGAGACCAAGUUUUCUAUGCAGGUUUCUCAUUUGGAGAAGUAAUGUCAGAGCUCCCAGGAGAAGGGAAUGAGAACAGUGAAAUAAGGAAAAAGAAAAAAUCUGUGCACAUGUCAGAAUGGUUGAACAAGCUUCAAGAACCUUUUCGUGAAGUGGUAUCAGUGAAGCCAUGUGAAAUAAAGUGAGAGAGACACCGUGCAGCUCUGACAAGAUGCUGUCAGUCUACACUUGUCCACAGCUGGAGCCCCAAGUAGGAAGGUUUGGUAGUAAUUCAUUCUUCACCCAGGCAGAAUCAUGCCCGCUGUAUGAGAUAAAAGCAUGAAAUUGGAGAGUU